rnacentral:rRNA from 1 species
UACGGAGGAUGCGAGCGUUAUCCGGAUUUAUUGGGUUUAAAGGGUGCGCAGGCGGCGUGUCAAGUCAGCGGUAAAAUGUCGGGGCUCAACCCCGGCCGGCCGUUGAAACUGGCGUGCUCGAGUUGGAGAGAAGUAUGCGGAAUUCGUGGUGUAGCGGUGAAAUGCAUAGAUAUCACGCAGAACUCCGAUUGCGAAGGCAGCAUACCGGCGCCCUACUGACGCUGAGGCACGAAAGCGUGGGUAUCGAACAGG